UACGUAGGGGGCGAGCGUUGUCCGGAAUCAUUGGGCGUAAAGCGCGUGUAGGCGGCUCGAUAAGUCCGGUGUGAAACCUUGGGGCUCAACCCCAAGCCUGCACUGGAUACUGCCGAGCUAGAGUCCGGGAGGGGAGAGCGGAAUUCCUAGUGUAGCGGUGAAAUGCGCAGAUAUCAGGAGGAACACCAGCGGCGAAGGCGGCGCUCUGGGCCGGUACUGACGCUGAGGAGCGAAAGCGUGGGGAUCAAACAGG
rnacentral:rRNA from 1 species